AGCAGUUUACGUUUGCUGGAUAUUUUAUGUUUUUUAUGUUUUUAUGUCUAGGAAUGUGAUAAAUGGUUGGGAUACCAUUUACAUCUUGUAUAUAUCCAUUUGCGUCUAAAUAUGGAAAGGCUUCAGGAGGAAUGAAGCCAGAAGCUAAUGUUUUUGCGUGAUACUCUGGAUGUGGAUAUAAUGCGCUAAAGAUUAAGCUAUUGUGUGUGAUGCGGCUUGCAUUUGCAAAAUGAUCUCGUUAAUCGUGUUCUGGAUUUGCGAACAUUCUCAGGCAAACUCUUAAGCAUUUACGUUCGAAAUGUCUGAUUUUUUCCAAUUGUGAGGCACUGACGUUAUACCACACAGGACAUCCAUAUGUAAUGAUGGGUCUGAUUAGAACUUCCAUGAUUUAUAAUAUGCAUUGACUCUUUCAAAUCCAUCCUGAAGCCUGUGUUGUAUUCGUGAGGGCCAUGCAUCCUCGCUAUAAAUUAUUAAGUCAUCUGCGAAUGCAAUGGAUUUUAUGGGACAAGCCGAAUUUGCGUUACAGAAUUUCAACACGUGACAUGUAUAUAUAUUGAAAAGAAUGGGAGAGUUCACUGUGCCCUGCUGUAAUCCAUUUGUUAUGACGAAGUUAUUUGAAGAAGUGAGUCUACCUAUGUUGGUUACGAAAGAUCUUUCGCUUAUCAUGCUCCAGAUUAAUUCUAUCAUGUGUUCAGAGAAUUUAUUUUGACUAAGCUUUACAAUGAGGCCUGAUAGCCAGACCGAAUCAAAUGCUUUUUCUAGAUCUAUGAGGCAGGCGCCUACGCACUUUUUGUCAUUCAUGGCCCAACAAAUGUCUGAGGUAAGUUUAUUAAUAGCGUGUAAAGUGGAGUGUUUGGAUCUGAAUCCGAAUUGAUUUUCGGGAUCGGUACUACUAAGGCCUUUUUCCAGUGCGGUGGAAAAUAUCUAUUGUUUAAUAAAUUGUUAAAGAGGAUCGCGUAGGCUCGUAUCACCUCUGGAGUGUUACUUGUGAACGGGAUUUGUGUGUCUUCUGAGAAAGAGACAUAUGCAAGAAUCGCGUUGUGAUCGCUAUCAUACGGGACGCUUGGUAAUUUGAAGGAAUCUACUGUGUUAUUAAAAUCUAUUCUUGGAGUUGCCCGAAUAAGUUAUUGAGCUCUGGGAUAAAUUCUUUUUGAUUACCGCAGGGCGCGUAAGCUGCGAUUAGGAAUA